rnacentral:lncRNA from 1 species
AAAUUAAAUCUAAUUUAAAUUAAUUAAGACUUAAUUCAUAAUUUAAUCAAUCCUAAUUAAAUUAUAAUAUUUAUAAUUAAGUCUCUAUGCUAAUAAUUAAUAGUUGCUACAUCUGUAACGCUUACAAAUUAGUAGUUUUUAAAAUUCAAACCAUCAAUCCAAUUGAUAAUUCAAAUAUAAUCUAAGCUAUUGAUUAGGUCAUACUCCU